AGAUUGAACGCUUAGCGGUCAUGCCUAACACAUGCAAGUCGAACGGGUAACAGGCCCUUCGGGGUGCUGACGAGUGGCGGACGGGUAGAGUAAUGUCGUAGGAAUCUACCCACGAGUGGGGGAUAGCCCGGUAGAAAUCCGGAUUAAUUACCGCAUAUGCCCUACGGGUAAAGCGGGGGAGUCGUAAGACCUCGCGCUGGUGGAUGAGCCUAACGUCCGAUUAGUUAGUUGGUGGGUAAA
rnacentral:rRNA from 1 species